AUGGGGAAGACAUCGUGGAGCGCAUUGUUGGGCCUCGGCUGCUUCAGCUCCCACCGCGACCACGCCAGCGACGACCCCCGACCGCCCAGGCCGGCGCCGCUGCCUAACGACGACGGCCUUAAGACAGGCACCGGCGUGACACCGUCGCCGGAGGAUCUGCCCGUGUCGCUUGCGGGGUCCGGCGUGGAGGCGUUCACGGUGGACGAGCUCCGGACGGCGACGCGGGAUUUCUCGACCAGCAACUUCGUCGGCGAGGGCGGGUUCGGGCCGGUAUACAAGGGCUAUGUCGACGAGCGGCUCAAGCCCGGCGUGCGCGCGCAGGCAGUCGCCGUCAAGCUGCUCGACCUCGAGGGCUCGCAAGGACACAAAGAGUGGCUGGCUGAAGUUGUUCUUCUCGGACAACUGAGGCAUCCACACCUGGUCAAGCUGAUCGUCUACUGCUGCGAGGAUGAGCACAGACUCCUCGUUUACGAGUUCAUGGCGAGAGGCAGCCUAGAGAAGCAUCUCUAUAAGAGGUACACAACAUCAUUGUCGUGGUCAACUAGGCUGAAGAUCGCCAUUGAAGCUGCCAAAGGUUUGGCCUUUCUCCAUGACGCUGCCAAGACCAUCAUCUAUCGUGACUUCAAGACCUCCAACAUACUACUCGACUCGGAUUACCAAGCAAAGCUUUCUGAUUUUGGGCUAGCCAAGGAUGGGCCCGACGGAGACGAGACACAUGUCUCCACUCGAGUCAUGGGCACACAGGGCUACGCUGCACCAGAGUAUAUCAUGACAGGUCAUCUAACAACGAAGAGCGAUGUGUAUAGUUUUGGUGUGGUGCUGCUGGAGCUUUUGACGAGGCGAAAGGUGGUGGACAAGAACCGGCCGACACGGGAACAGAGCCUCGUCGAGUGGGCACGGCCAUACUUCCUCCAUGACUCACCCCGUCGGCUAGACCGUGCCAUAGACCGAAACCUGGACGGCCAGUACUCGGCUCUGGCCGCCCAGAAGGCUGCAGCCAUGGCAUAUCGAUGCCUGAGCAUCAGCCCAAAGUCUCGCCCUCAGAUGUCCGCCGUCGUGGAGGCCCUGGAGCCGUUGCUUGCCAUGGAUGAUGGCGUUGUAGAACCGUUCGUGUACACCGCACCACCGGAGAACAAAUGA
rnacentral:rRNA from 1 species